rnacentral:rRNA from 1 species
CGGGUAACGGGGAAUUAGGGUUCGAUUCCGGAGAGGGAGCCUGAGAAAUGGCUACCACUUCUACGGAAGGCAGCAGGCGCGCAAAUUACUCAAUCCCAAUACGGGGAAGUAGUGACAAUAAAUAUCGAUGCCUAACCAUUUUUGGAAGGGUAAUUGAAAUGAACACAAAUUAAAACUCUUAAUUAAUACAAUUGGAGGGCAAGUCUGGUGCCAGCAGCCGCGGUAAUUCCAGCUCCAAUAGCAUAUACUAAAGUUGUUGCAGUUAAAAAGCUCGUAGUUGAAGUUAAAGCUUUAUUUGGGUUAAAAAUUCAUUUACCGUUUAUUGGUUAAAUCGAAUUCCAGUAUUGCUUUUUUAAAGUUCAGUUUGUAUUGCUUUUGGUAGUAUUUAUUUGGACAUUUCACUGUGAGAAAAUUGUGGUGUUUAAAGCAGGCGUCUCUGCCUGAUCUUUUGCAGCAUGGUAUGAUGGAACAUGACAUUUUGCGCAAUUGGUUGCGAUUAAAGUGUAAUGAUUAAUAGGGAUGGAUGGGGGUGU